CACCCAGACUCCUACGGGAGGCAGCAGUGAGGAAUAUUGGUCAAUGGGCGAGAGCCUGAACCUGCCAAGUCGCGUGAAGGAUGACGGCCCUACGGGUUGUAAACUUCUUUUGUCAGGGAGCAAUUGGGUCCACGCGUGGGCUUAGCGAGAGUACCUGAAGAAAAAGCAUCGGCUAACUCCGUGCCAGCAGCCGCGGUAAUACGGAGGAUGCGAGCGUUAUCCGGAUUUAUUGGGUUUAAAGGGUGCGCAGGCGGAGGCACAAGUCAGCGGUAAAAUCGCGGGGCUCACCCCCGCUCCGCCGUUGAAACUGUGUCCCUUGAGUGCGCGAAGGGGAGGCGGAAUGCGUGGUGUAGCGGUGAAAUGCAUAGAUAUCACGCAGAACUCCGAUCGCGAAGGCAGCCUACCGGCGCGCAACUGACGCUCAUGCACGAAAGCGUGGGGAUCGAGCAGGAUUAGAUACCCUGGUACUU
rnacentral:rRNA from 1 species